rnacentral:rRNA from 1 species
UACGUAGGGUGCGAGCGUUGUCCGGAAUUAUUGGGCGUAAAGAGCUUGUAGGCGGUUUGUCGCGUCUGCCGUGAAAUUUCGAGGCUCAACCUCGAACUUGCGGUGGGUACGGGCAGACUAGAGUGUGGUAGGGGAGACUGGAAGUUCCUGGUGUAGCGGUGAAAUGCGCAGAUAUCAGGAGGAACACCGAUGGCGAAGGCAGGUCUCUGGGCCACUACUGACGCUGAGAAGCGAAAGCAUGGGGAGCGAACAGG